ACAGGGCACACAAGUUGACAAGGAGCAAGGUUGAACGGGGCAUAGGACAGCUGAAACGCAGAUGGGGAAUUCUGCAUGGAGAAGUUAGACUUGCUCCAGAAAAAACGUGCAAGGUGAUCAUUGCAUGUGCAGUUUUGCACAACAUCUGCAAGCUGCAUGGUGUGCCAGAUGUUGAUGAUCUGCCGGAAGAUCCUGUGCGCAAUGACGGGAUUCAUGUUGGUCCAGAAGAUGGACUUCGCUUCCGUGAUAUUAUAUGCGAACAGUAUUUUAGAUUGUAAAUUACGGGGGAUAUAGACAAAACAAGUCUUAAAAAUGUGUGUUCAUUUACAUCUAAUAAAGACAAAACAAGUCUUAAAAAUGUGUGUUCAUUUACAUCUGAUAAAGACAAAACAAGUCUUAAAAAUGUGUGUUCAUUUACAUCUGAUAAAGACAAAACAAGUCUUAAAAAUGUGUGUUCAUUUACAUCUGAUAAAGACAAAACAAGUCUUAAAAAUGUAUGUUCAUUUACAUCUGAUAAAGACAAAACAAGUCUUAAAAAUGUGUGUUCAUUUACAUCUGAUAAACACAAAACAAGUCUUAAAAAUGUGUGUUCAUUUACAUCUGAUAAACACAAAACAAGUCUUAAAAAUGUGUGUUCAUUUACAUCUGAUAAAGACAAAACAAGUAUAUAAAAUGUGUGCUGAAUGAGACAUAGCUGAUUAAUAUAGGAUUGGUGGCUGGGGAACAUAGCUGAUAUUAUAGGUUUCAGGGCAAGGGAACAUAGCUGAUGUUAUAGGUUUUGGAGCCAGAAAACAUAGCUGAUAAUAUCAGUUUGGGGGUCGGAGGCCAUCGCUGAUGUUAUUGGUUUGGGGGCCGGGGGACAUAGCUGAUAUGAUAUAAAAA